rnacentral:rRNA from 1 species
CGACGAGUUUGAUCCUGGCUCAGGAUGAACGCUAGCGGCAGGCUUAACACAUGCAAGUCGAGGGGUAUAGUAGCAAUACUAGAGACCGGCGCACGGGUGCGUAACGCGUAUGCAAUCUACCUUUUGCAGAGGGAUAGCCCAGAGAAAUUUGGAUUAAUACCUCAUAGUAUAUAGAGUUGGCAUCAACACUAUAUUAAAGUCACAACGGCAAAAGAUGAGCAUGCGUCCCAUUAGCUAGUUGGUAAGGUAACGGCUUACCAAGGCUACGAUGGGUAGGGGUCCUGAGAGGGAGAUCCCCC